rnacentral:lncRNA from 1 species
CUUUACCAUUUGUUGACUCUCUUCCCCUCCAUGAACCGCCUUAAAUUUUUUUUUCUCUCAGCACCUGGGAAGUUACCUUUAGUAAACCUUGAAAGCCAGAAAUAUUGAUGGAUGGCCGAAUAGGAACAGCUCCGGUCUACAGCUCCCAGCGUGAGUGACACAGAAGACGGGGGAUUUCUGCAUUUCCAUCUGAGAUAAUUGUUGUCUUGUUUUGGCCCUCUUCAAAGAUGGUUUCUAAUCAGCUAUAGAACUUUGAUAGGCACUCUCAAAUGCAGAUUUCUGAUAACCUUGGAAAUUUUGACAUUGGAAUCAAGGAAAAAUAUACAGAUCUCAUAAAGAGCUGAAAUGUUCAUGAAUAUCAAACAAAACAAGAGUUAACUGAAUAAGAUGAACUAAUGUAAUAAAAAGGCCAUCAAACUCCAAACAACCAUGCAAGAAAGCCUUCAGUGAUGGCCCCUUUUUUCUGGGGACUCUUAGAUAGGCUUCUGAAGGAGCUCUGACUGCCAUUUUCCCAAGACAGCACCCUCCAUCAGCAAGAAGCUGUUAAGGAUUGUCUUCAUCUUUAUCCAUGUACUUAUUCUAAUGAGAGUUAAAUGUACUUCUUUAAUGAGGGGAAUGAUAGAGUUAGAAGAUAGCCAAAUCUCACCCUGGUCCUUGUGCACAGGGGGCUUGCCUAAACAUGCCCAAGGUGAAAAAUUCUGUCUCAUGUGUGUUAAGGGAGAUAAAUCAAUGUGGAGUGGCUCAGACUAAGGGCCCACGUGCACACUGGGAGAAUGGGGUGGAGACACCAGGAAGUCACAUUUUAUGCAGGGGGUAAGAACCUGGCAUCUUCAGCUCAUGUGUGAUGGUCUGGUAUUUAGUCUGUAAGGUGGGAUCCUUUUGGCAGGACCUCCUUCUUUUGUGCUGUGAGCCUUCUUUUAAUAAAUUCCACUCUCCUCAGCUUUCAAUUUGUCCACAUGACUAAUUUUUCCUGGCUGUGAGACAAUAACCCAG